GCCGGCAUAAUCACUGUUAGCCCAGGCUUAAUAGUGUUUUAUCAUAGUUUCAUAGACACUAAAUAUGCUGAUGUGACACUAUAUUAAUGAAGAGAGAGGUGAUAAGAGUUUCAUAAGAGUAGAGAGUUUUAUAAGGAUGAAACUCAUCUGCACUAUUUCCAAAAUAUGGAGGUGUUGAAAACUAGCAAACCCCUACUGAGGAUGACCUUAGAAUAAUCCACAAGAUCUGAGCAGUGAGAGUAGGUUGAAAACUAUAGGAAGCAGAAAAUACGCUUCAUAAGGCUAAAGUGAGUGUGUGACGAGGAUCAUGCAUAUAUUGGAGGCAAACGUACACUGUAAAGUGUUCCCUAAAGAGCGGGAUCUACCACGGAGGGAACAGCACUAGAAUCAGGAGUGG
rnacentral:lncRNA from 1 species